GAGGUCCAAGGGGUCUUAACUGCUGCUCAGAAGCACUGGCCUCACAUCCAUAUAUUUGAUUCGCAGGUUAUGGCAGAUUCGGCUGUCAAGAUGGUAAAAGCUGGUUGCCAAUAUAUCACAGUUCUUGGAGUUGAUUUUAUGUCAGAAAAUGUGCGGGCAAUCCUUUAUCAGGCUGGCUUCUUAGAGGAAUGUUCUGUCACUUGGUUUGUUGCACGAGGAGCAAUUAACAAAUAGCAUUCACACAAUCAAUUGGUGUGGAAUCCACUUCAAUGAUUAUAUAAUGGAUAUUUUAUUUAAUAGCAUCGGUACCCAAUUUGUAUACAUAUCAUCGGUACCCAAUUUCUUGCUCACUGUAGAACUGAUGAGUGUUUUUUUGAGAUUGGUGGAGAAAGCUUGAGAAUUUAUAAGCGUGAGAUUCAAGAAAAUGUUUUGGAAAUUGUUGGCAUUUCCCCUGAGCAGGCUGAAGCAAAAUUUGGCUAUCUUUUGGAGGCUUUAGACAUGGGUGCUCUUCCACAUGUAUUUUGAUGGAUAUGGAUAUCAUGGAGCAUCACUUGAGCAAACAUAUCGAUGUUACCCUGCAUCUUUUAUUGAUAAGGUUGGAAAGCUUUCCUCAACAUGAUAAUUGUUUUGUUUUGUUUGAUUCACUUAAUUAAUUUGAUUUUAUUCAUUAUACUGUUUCAGUUUUAUGUUUUGUCAUCUU